rnacentral:rRNA from 1 species
AGCGAACGCUGGCGGCAGGCCUAACACAUGCAAGUCGAACGAACCUUUCGGGGUUAGUGGCGGACGGGUGAGUAACACGUGGGAACGUGCCUUUAGGUUCGGAAUAACUCAGGGAAACUUGUGCUAAUACCGAAUGUGCCCUUCGGAGGAAAGAUUUAUCGCCUUUAGAGCGGCCCGCGUCUGAUUAGCUAGUUGGUUGAGGUAAUGGCUCACCAAGGCGACGAUCAGUAGCUGGUCUGAGAGGAUGAUCAGCCACAUUGGGACUGAGACACGGCCCAAACUCCUACGGGAAGCAGCAGUGGGGAAUCUUGCGCAAUGGGCGAAAGCCUGACGCAGCCAUGCCGCGUGAAUGAUGAAGGUCUUAGGAUUGUAAAAUUCUUUCACCGGGGACGAUAAUGACGGUACCCGGAGAAGAAGCCCCGGCUAACUUCGUG